UACGUAGGGUGCGAGCGUUAAUCGGAAUUACUGGGCGUAAAGCGUGCGCAGGCGGUUUUGUAGGACAGAGGUGAAAUCCCCGGGCUUAACCUGGGAACUGCCUUUGUGACUGCAAGGCUUGAGUGCGGCAGAGGGGGAUGGAAUUCCGCGUGUAGCAGUGAAAUGCGUAGAUAUGCGGAGGAACACCGAUGGCGAAGGCAAUCCCCUGGGCCUGCACUGACGCUCAUGCACGAAAGCGUGGGGAGCAAACAGG
rnacentral:rRNA from 1 species